UUUUUUAUUCUUUUUAUCCAAUCCUCUUACUAUGUUCGCCAUUGUUAAUAGGGCUGGGGCCGACAACUGGCUGUCCUGGGAGAGCCGCUUGAGGAUUGCGUCAGAAGCAGCCGGUGCCCUAUCGUACCUCCACUCGGCGGCGAACAUCCCGAUCAUCCACAGGGACGUGAAAUCCGCCAACAUCUUGCUCGAUGAGUACUUCACCGCUAAGAUCUCCGAUUUCGGAGCCUCUAGGCUUAUUUCCCUGGACCAGACAGAGGUGACAACCCUGGUCCAGGGAACUUUAGGUUACCUGGACCCCGAGUAUUUCCACUCGAGCCAGCUAACAGAGAAGAGCGACGUCUACAGCUUUGGGGUCGUUUUAGCCGAGCUGAUGACGGGGAAACGACCCAUCGACAUGGAGAGGAGCCUCGAGACACGCAAUCUAACGACGUAUUUCUGCAUGUCCGUGAAGGAGAACAAGUUAUUUCAGAUCCUGGAGCCGAGGGUGGUGAGGGAGGGAUCGUUGGAGCAGCUGCAGGCGAUGGCGCAGCUGGUGAAGCGGUGCCUGAACUUAAAUGGCGAGGAUAGGCCAACGAUGAAGGAGGUGGCAAUGGAGCUCGAAGGGUUGAGGAAGUUCAACAAACAUCCUUGGGCGAAUCUGCAGGCUGUGGACGAGGAGUCUGUCGGAUUGAUGAAUCGGGAUGGAGUCGUCGUAGCCGAUGAUCUUUAUAGCGUUCCGAUUGCGUCGGGAGGGGAUCUAUACACUGCGCCGAUCAGCUCAGCGGAUUUCUCCGGGCAAUACAGCUUGAACAGUGAUCCGAGCCAAAACUUCUUCCCUCACAUGAAUAGCCCUCGCUGAUUAAAUUGAGUUGAGUUGAGUUGAGUCGGGUCGGGUCGGUUCGGAUCGAUUGGUGGUGUUUUACGUGUUUGGAAUUUUCUUUUCUAGAUAACUUCACUCGUNCGGGGAGGAGAAAAGCUUCGUGUUUCGUGGGGCGCCGGAUCUUUCCGACCCGAAUUUCGUGCAGCGGGUCAGGGAGACGGUUCCCAUCGUGGUGGAUUGGGCCAUUGGGAAUUUAACUUGCGAUAAGGCUACGAGUUCGGAUGGCUAUGCUUGCAAGGGCAAUAGUGAGUGCGUUGACUCCGGCACCGGCUUGGGAGGGUACCGCUGCAGGUGUAAAACCGGGUAUGAAGGCAACCCGUAUUUGGAUCCGGGCUGCAUAGGUAUGCUAUUCUUUCCUUUUACCACUACAAAAAAAAUAGCCUAUAGCUACAUCCCUUUUAUGACAUUAUAUGAAAGAUGUGGUUAUAAAUAAUCUAUUACGACAUCAUAUUUUCUAUAUUGAUUAAUGUAAAUAAUGUUUAAUACUAUUACAACAUCAAAAAGUCUAUGUCAUUAUAUCAUGGCAAUUACAACACAAUCGUGUGUCCCAGAACAUUGGGAACGUAUGUAGUGCCUACAUGCGUUUAAAUUAAUUAGCAAAAGAAUUACUAAUAAAUGGGUAAAAGGAAUAAAAGAAUCCCACCGCUCCAUACUCAAAAUUCUAGGCGCGGACUUUGCCACCAAAUUAAUUAAUUUUUCGCAUAAAAAAAUUUGAAAAAUAGAUUUGUGCCCUACCUUUAUUUUCAAAACCAGUUUCCAGAUUCAUUCUUUUCUUUUCAAUUCUUUUACAAACAUAGAAUAGAAACAAUAUUUUUUUUCUUCAGAUCUUGUCAAUUUGAUAGCAAAAUCUUUACAUAAUUCAAUUUAAUGAAGUGGGCCAGAGGGCGAAGUGCAAGAGCAGUUUUAUCGGCGACUCGUUCUAUAGCUUAUUCUACUCCGUCGCCGCUCUUCUUGAGGUGAAAUUAUCUUCUUCGGAUAUAGUCUUUGUUGCUUUCGAUUUUUUCUAGUCUUAUUGUUAAAUUGUUUAGAUGCCCGAAUUUCAUAUUUACUCGCUUGGUUAUUGUAAAGGGAUUAUGUUUAUUUGGUGUUUAGUCGACUCUUCAAGAGUUUUUGAAUAGAGGUUGUUAAACUUAGGGAAAAAGUUGAUUACACGAUUCAGUUUAAAGAUUACAGAUGUGAGAAUUUGUUAUUCUUUUGAUUUUACUUUUUUUUUUUGUUUAUGAUUAUAGGGACCGCGAAUUCCAUGGGUCUCAAAAGUGCAAAAUAGGCUCAAUUAAUUUGAGAUUUCUGUGAAUUUUUUACUGUGAGGGUAGUACUAGAGAAUCGUCAGAUAUAUAUGGUUCAAUAUUUUUUAUUUCAUGAAACCUGUGUCUGAUGUUGUUCUGCAUUUAGCCUUUUAUGUUAAAAUUCUUGUCUAUUGAAGCAAAUAAGGUGAUUUUGGUAGACGUAGCGGUCGUACAAGAAACGUUUAGAGCAAAGUUAGCUUCUUUAGAGUUGUUUACAUUUUUUGGAGAAUUCACAAGCCCACCAAUAUUCGUACAUUGCUCAUGGCAAGAGAUUUUAUUUUUUUUGAAGACCAUAUAUAUUUUAUGUUUACAAUUGUAGUAUCUCGUCGAAGAAGUUGCUUUCCAUCCAGAGAGAUUAAAGAAGAUCUCCCCACAGGUCUAGUAUUUAUUUUAUCUGUUAUCAUGGAUUUCCUUGAGUCCUAGACCAUGAUCCAUCUUCUUAACCAUGGAGUUAUAAUAUCUCAUAAAUAACUUCUGCUGUUAAAUUUUCUUGACAGGCUCCGAGGGACAUAUUUCUUCUUCUCUCAAGAUUCCUAUUUUUCUACGACACAGGUAAAUCCAUUUAUUUAUUGAUUUCUUUUUGAAAUUAGAUUACAUUAUUCCAACUUGAUUGUACUUCUAAGAAGAACUAGACAUAUUCUUUGCAAAUGACCGAUUUGCAAUAUUAUUGAAGCAUUUUCCAGAUUUUCCAAAUGCUUUUUUAAUUGGUGGUGCAGCAGACAGUGAACUAGUUGAUCAGGUACAUUAUAAGAUCACAAGAUACUAGGGCUGUUAUUGUUUCACUCUCAUGGGUUGUCUUCAUUAUCAUCCACAAAAUUUCACUUUGCCAAUCUUGCGUUGUUAAUUUUAUCAUCAUCAUCAUCUCAUUUGUUAUUGGUCAUUUUGUUGCCAGCUUUAGGAGUUGAAGGUAGACUCAGUCCUUCUUUAUUACUUAUCUCAUAUAAAAGUUCUUCAAGGUUAUCUCUCUCUCAUACACUUUGAUUUUCAGACAUCUUUCUAAAAUUUCUACAGGCCUAGAAAUAAGAGCAGCAACAAGUACAAGACUUAAAACAAGUCUAUAUAGCUUAACAUCUCCUGAUGGUCCCAUGUACCCGACAAAAGAUGUUCGUCAUGCAGCGGGGGAUAUGUUAGACUUUCUCUUCCCUGUAAGGUAUGAUAGCUCAAUACCUGUAUCAUAUUGAUUCAGCGUGGGAUGCAUUAUAUAGCUUUGUUAAGUUCUAACGGCUCUCUAAUUUUGUAUUAAUCCCUUUAUUAUGUUCUAACGGCUCUCUCUAAUUUUGUAGGUGAGGUAAUGAAUUGAUUUUGUGGAUUGGUGUGAGGUAACUUAUAGAUAGCUUUGAUAAUUCUGAUGUUUAUUCAUGUUCCAAGGUAAAUUGAUAAUUAUCUUCCCAAUUAUCACCUUCUCAAACUUCAUGCAUGUUUCAAAGUCUUGAUGCUUUCACCUAUCAAUAUUUGAAUUGGUUGUUGAAUGCAGUGAAGUGAGUACUAACAGGGGAUGCACAAGAUGUAUAAAGCGAACUACUCACAAAUAUGAAAGAAUGUUCGAUUGUCCAUCACAAUUUCAAGAGCAUUAUAUUUGUACCUUAUUUAUAGUUUCUCAUUUUUCAAUACUUGAUGUUACUACCAAAGCAAUAGCUAAGUUUUGUAAAAAAAUUCAUUGUUUGUUUACCAUUUUUACUGAUAUGGAAGUAUUUUAAUGAGAAUUCUUUAUCCGUGUCUUUUAUUAUUUCCAUUGUAUGUAUCACUUCAAUAGAAAUUCACAAUAAACUUGCAUAAUAUAUAAUUAAAAAAUGAUUAUUUUGAAAUUGUUUCCGGAAGUAUUAGAAUCUCAAUAAAAGUAUUUAAUCAAAUUUCUUAUUUGCUUAUAAAUUAAAAUAAUGACAAUUAAUAGUGUCACAAAAGCCCAUUUUACAAUCCACGUGCAAAUGCUUAUUGCAACACCUUGGAGUGUCUUUAUAUAUUUUUAUGCUUUAGCUACACUGGUAUAGACGACACAAGUAAUCAAUGUGGAGAUAGGUUAAAUGUUGCAACAAGUGAUUUAUUGGGACAGUUUUAGGUGUCCUUAAAAGCAAUUUUUCUUGUAGUGUACUUUUUCAUAAUGGUUAUAACUUAUAACCAACACUACUGUUUCUAGUACAUCAAGUACUAGAAUUUUAUUUAUGUUGGGAAGAAAAGAUUUUGUUGUUUAACUACUGUUUCUAGUAAAAAAAAGAACCAAGAACAUUUAAUUAUUUGAAAUUCAACCUGAAUUAGAAUUUUUGUCAUACUUAAUCUUACAUAGAAGUUGAAAAGUAUUUAGUUCAGAAGUAAGAACUUCCUUUGAGUCUGUCAGUUCUACAAAAUUGAUUAAUUUUCAAAUAUAAUUUCAAAUAAUUAAAAAUUCAUGUAUUUUUGUCACCAAAAAAUAAUAUUGAUUAAAAAUUAAAAUUUAGGUAUACCUAGUAUAUAUUUAUAGACCAUUAACAUUAUUUAAUCGCCAAAUUUGUUUACAAAAAUAAAAUUAAUGUUUGUAUCUUAAAUGUAUGUUUGAAUUUGUAGAUAUCGAUGAAUGUGCGGCAGCGGACCUCAACGUUUGUGUUGAGAAUAGUUGCUUGAACAACUUGGGGGGUUAUGAAUGUUCAUGUCCUAAAGGGCAGUUUGGGGAUGGCAAAAAGAAUGGUAAAGCUUGCACUCCUAAUAGCUCUACGUUUCCUGUGAUCAACGUUGCCUUAGGUAAUUCUCCAAAUUCUUUUACAUAUCGUAUUUUACUACAGUUUCCUGUGAUCAAAAUUCUUUAUGAGUUUUGUUCUGUUUUGGAUGAUAAAUUUUGAUGAUUAAUUGUACUUGUACUUCAUCAUAUUAUGAUCUUAUUCGAGAUGAUUAAACAAUGUAGGUACCGGAUUCGGUUUCCUAGCCGUAGUCAUUGCUGCAACAGUGAUAUACUUCAGCCUCAAGAAAAGAAAACUGAUAAAACUCAGAGAGAAAUUCUUCCAACAAAACGGCGGCAUGCUGCUAAAGCAGCAAGUCUCCUCUGUCGAAGAAGGCAAUUCCAUGGAAUCGACAAAGAUAUUCACGGCAUUGCAGCUGCAAAAGGCCACCAACAACUACGCCAAUGAUAGAAUCCUCGGCCGCGGAGGCUACGGCACCGUCUACAAGGGCAUCCUGCCCAACAACGACGUCGUGGCAAUCAAAAAGUCGAGAGUGAUGGACGCCACCCAGAUCGAACAGUUCAUCAACGAGGUCGUGAUCCUGACACAGAUCAAUCACAGGAACGUGGUCAAACUAUUAGGGUGUUGUCUGGAGGCGGAGGUGCCCUUGCUCGUGUACGAGUACGUCUCCCAUGGCACGCUCUACGAGCACAUCAACAGGUAGGGACGACAACUUUUCUAUGAUUCUAUUUGAUGAUAUAUAAGAACUUUUGAAAAGAAAAAAAAAAAUCUCACAAAAUAUUACUCCCUCCGUCCCAGCUGAAAUGUCCUGUUUCUUUUCGGCACGGAGAUUAAGAAAUGUGUAUAAAGUAGAUAAAGUGGGUUGGUGGAAAUUAUUUAAAUAUUAAGUAUAGAGAGAGUGUGUAUUGCCAAAAAAGAAAACAGGACAUUUCAAGUGGGACAACCCAAAAAGGAAAGCAGGACAUUUCAGCUGGGACAGAGGGAGUAAUAGUUUGAUAAUUUUAUAGUAAAAAAUAAAAACAUUUUUUUAUUCUUUUUAUCCAAACCUCUUACUAUGUUCGCCAUUGUUAAUAGGGCUGGGGCCGACAACUGGCUGUCCUGGGAGAGCCGCUUGAGGAUCGCGUCAGAGGCAGCCGGUGCCCUAUCGUACCUCCACUCGGCGGCGAACAUCCCGAUCAUCCACAGGGACGUGAAAUCCGCCAACAUCUUGCUCGAUGAGUACUUCACCGCUAAGAUCUCCGAUUUCGGAGCCUCUAGGCUUAUUUCCCUGGACCAGACAGAGGUGACA
rnacentral:lncRNA from 1 species